rnacentral:rRNA from 1 species
GGUUAAGCGACUAAGCGUACACGGUGGAUGCCCUGGCAGUCAGAGGCGAUGAAGGACGUGCUAAUCUGCGAUAAGCGUCGGUAAGGUGAUAUGAACCGUUAUAACCGGCGAUUUCCGAAUGGGGAAACCCAGUGUGAUUCGUCACACUAUCAUUAACUGAAUCCAUAGGUUAAUGAGGCGAACCGGGGGAACUGAAACAUCUAAGUACCCCGAGGAAAAGAAAUCAACCGAGAUUCCCCCAGUAGCGGCGAGCGAACGGGGAGGAGCCCAGAGCCUGAAUCAGUGUGUGUGUUAGUGGAAGCGUCUGGAAAGGCGCGCGAUACAGGGUGACAGCCCCGUAC